rnacentral:rRNA from 1 species
UACGUAGGCAGCGAGCGUUGUUCGGAGUUACUGGGCGUAAAGGGUGCGUAGGCGGUUGUUUAAGUUUGGUGUGAAAUCUCCCGGCUCAACUGGGAGGGUGCGCCGAAUACUGAAUGACUAGAGUGCGGGAGAGGAUAGUGGAAUUCCUGGUGUAGCGGUGAAAUGCGUAGAUAUCAGGAGGAACACCGGUGGCGAAGGCGGCCAACUGGACGAGUACUGACGCUGAGACACGAAAGCGUGGGGAGCAAACAGG